GCCAGCUCCCAUCUCUAUAACACGGCAAUAAUACCAGCUCCCAUCUCUCUAUAACACGGCAAUAAUAUCAGCUCCCAUCUCACUAUAACACAGCAAUAAGGCCAGCUCCCAUCUCUCUAUAACACGGCAAUAAGGCCAGCUCCCAUCUCUCUAUAACACGGCAAUAAGGCCAGCUCCCAUCUCUCUAUAACACAGCAAUAAGGCCAGCUCCCAUCUCUCUAUAGCACAGCAAUAAUACCAGCUCCCAUCUCUCUAUAACACGGCAAUAAGGCCAGCUCCCAUCUCUCUAUAACACGGCAAUAAGGCCAGCUCCCAUCUCUCUAUAACACAGCAAUAAGGCC